UACGUAGGCAGCGAGCGUUGUUCGGAGUUACUGGCGUAAAGCGUGCGUAGGCGGUGUCUUAAGUUUGUUGUGAAUCUCCCGGCUUAACCGGGAGGGUGCGGCGAAUACUGAGAUGCUGGAGUGCGGGAGAGGUAAGCGGAAUUCCUGGUGUAGCGGUGAAAUGCGUAGAUAUCUGGAGGAACACCGGUGGCGAAGGCGGCAUCCUGGACCGGCAUUGACGCUAAAGCGCGAAAGCCAGGGAGCAAACGGG
rnacentral:rRNA from 1 species